UUGCCUUGAGAUGAACCUUCCCGUGCUUUUUAGAACAUAUUAUGGCACCAGUCAGGUGACCAUCGAAACGCAAUACGCCUGCAGAUCUGCUACGCAGACGGCGGGUAUGGCGAUUAUCGCCGACCACGUUUCUCUUUCUUCAAAAGACAAGGACCCGCUGUUUUGGCAGUGUUCUACCCAGUAUGGGCCCGUAGCUCAGGUGGUUAGAGCGCACGCCUGAUAAGCGUGAGGUCGGCAGUUCGAGUCUGCCCGGGCCCACCAUGUUUUGUCCUGACGCUGUCGUGACCUUCGGUCACUGCGCUCCGGACGGGCCGUCCCAUGCGGGACGUGGAGCUCUGCUCCUGUUUGGUGGCUUUCGGUCAGGUAUCGAAACCUGAAUGGGGCUGUAGCUCAGCUGGGAGAGCACCUGCUUUGCAAGCAGGGGGUCAGCGGUUCGAUCCCGCUCAGCUCCACCAAGGUUUUGGUGUUGAGAACUGAGAGGUUGAAUGCCUUGUCUUUGAAGAAAUAAAAGUUUGCGUCUGCCAAAUGGCAGUUCGCCUGUUCUGCAUACAUUGUGAAGAGAAGAUUGAUCUGGAGGCUUCC
rnacentral:tRNA from 1 species